GGGAACCAAGAAGGAGUAAUCAGCAGAAUUUUAUUGCCCUUUAUUUCAGCUGCAGCAAACUCCACUUCCUAUUAGAAUUUCAUGUGCAUUGUAUGCUUAACCCUUCCUAUAUAUUGCAUUCAGAGAGAGGAUUUAAUAGCUGUAACAGGUAGGAACACUGCAGUUUGAGAUAGCAGAAAUCAUUUUCUGUUGUGCUAGGGCUUUAUCGCUUUGAAUUUCUGGAUACUCUCAACCUGGCUGCUUGCAGGGAAAAAAGGAAUGCUCAGCCUGUUGAAAGGGAUGAGACACUGACUCAGAGAGAUUUUUCUCACCCUCAGGGUUUAAAAGUGUUUCUUGCCCCUUGUUAAAUGGUUUUUCGCCAUGCCUAUGUGAAGUGGUAUAAUGGAAAUGCUUGUUCUGGUGCCUAGUCUCUGAUUUGGCUCAUUUUGCUUAGAUAGCAGCACUGGAAUGAAAUGGAGGUCUGCCAGUGCCUUCUAGCUAGUGGGCCUAUAUGUAUCCCAGGGAAGAUUCUUUGUAGGAGGUGCAACAUCUCCUGCUUCUUCUGCCUUUCAGUGCAAGGCCCAAGCUAGAUAGAGAGGUUGCUUUGGUUGCCCAGGCAGGUAGAUUUCAUUGCAUUGGAGGAAAUGGACUGUAAGGACUUCAGUGGUGGUGCUGGUACCUGUCUGAGAGUGACUGCAAAGUUGGCUCAUGACUCUACUAUUCAUCCCUACUUAACAUGGGAUCCUUAAACCCUUGAACUUUUAGCUAUUAGCU